GACACCGUAGUAUACUGGUAUGCGCUGGAUUGCAGCUUUUUGGUAGGAUCUUCCAGAGCCCUGGUUCAAUUCCUGGCUAUGUCA